rnacentral:misc_RNA from 1 species
GGCCGACGUAAGAUAUUUUUAUUGGACGUCUGCAGUCUGGAUGCACGGCCGGCCGUUAACCCGAUGCACUCAUUGCUCCGUGCCAAUCCAUAUGGAAUCCUUGCUCUCGAUUCCUCUUCAAGCGUCUUCCAUCUUCUUCGGCUACUCUGCACGCCCUCGCGCUUUUCAACGUUUACGUCCGAUCUGUAAAAUGCAUUAUGCAAGCUGGCGCGUAGCAAAGAAGCGUCGUUCGAUUGGCCUAUAAUGACAUGCAAUUAAAGUACGUUGUUACCGUCGUCCACGGUAAGG